rnacentral:rRNA from 1 species
ACGGGAGGCAGCAGUGGGGAAUAUUGGACAAUGGGGGAAACCCUGAUCCAGCGACGCCGCGUGAGUGAAGAAGUAUUUCGGUAUGUAAAGCUCUAUCAGCAAGGAAGAAAAUGACGGUACUUGACUAAGAAGCCCCGGCUAACUACGUGCCAGCAGCCGCGGUAAUACGUAGGGGGCAAGCGUUAUCCGGAUUUACUGGGUGUAAAGGGAGCGUAGACGGCAAAGCAAGUCUGAAGUGAAAGCCCCGGGCUCAACCCGGGAACUGCUUUGGAAACUGUUUAGCUAGAGUGCAGGAGAGGUAAGUGGAAUUCCUAGUGUAGCGGUGAAAUGCGUAGAUAUUAGGAAGAACACCAGUGGCGAAGGCGGUUAGCUGGACAAUAACUGACGCUGAGGCGCGAAAGCGUGGGUAGCAAACAGGAUUAGAUACCCUGGUA